AUAAAAUUUCUGCCCCCAAGGAAAUCUUGGCCAUAGAGGACAAAAAGACCCAAGACGAUGAGGCACGUCCACCUUCCCCACCUCCACCUGAACCAGUAAAAGUGGUAGCACCUGUAGUUGAACCACUUGAUUUGCUGGGUUUGAAUGAUCCUGUUCCAGAUACUGCAGCAUUAGAUGAGAAGAAUGCCAUGGCUAGGGUUUGAAUGAUCCUGUUCUCAUGUCAUAAAUACAAAUUCUUGGUUUGGCCGUGGUCAUGUUUGGCCACACAGGGCAAUACCAAAAGUACUAAUUUCUGCAUCUUGUCAUCAAGUGCUAUUUUCCGAGUGCAGCAGCAGCACUGUGUCUCAACGAAGGUGUAUUCAUUUGAGAGGUAACUUCUAUCCUUGAAGAACAAGUGAACAACCAAGUGGUAAGCCACGAAGCUGCUUGAGUAGGUCUUACACUUUUGUUUUCUUUUGUUGUGCAUUUUCAGGUUUGUGGUCAAAUGGUUUGGAGGGUGAUCAAGUAUUUUCUGAGUUUAUGGUUGGUUUUCGUUGUUUUUGUUAGAUUAGAAUUAGCCUACAAACUUUACAGUAAAUUGGAGGACUAUGCAAUUAGUAAUUGGCUUUGUAAAUCAGGUGUUUGCUUCAUAAAUUGGAGGUGUUUUUCUAAUUGGAAGAUUGUAUUUUUAGUGAUAUAUAGUGAUUGAUUUUUGUUAUGUUUGUAUACAGUGAUUGAUUUU